ACCUAAUCAUCUCUUUAAUCAUCAGAAAAAAAAAUCAGUAUUUUACAUUGUUAUUGUUUUCGUUGUUGCUAAUGGUGGUGUUUUUUUCCUUUCAUUACAGGUUAAGAAAUCUCUUAGGCCUUAUCCUUUUCUGACAGUUUUAGAGAUUUAAAAACAUCCCAAGAAUCCUUAUUUGUGCUGCAAAUAAUAAUUUCAAACUCAUUUGAUACUGACCUAUGAAAUCCUGUGACGUGACAUGACAUUUAUUAAUCUCAUGGAUGUAACAGUAAAACUCUUCAACUGACAGAUUAAGCUGCAAUGCAAGCAAAACUACUUCACAAAUGCUUAUAGGUCAUUUAAAUCAUUACAAAACACUAAUAAAUUAUUAAAGGAUUUGGUAACACUGUAAAAUAAUGUCUAAUUUGUUAACAUUAGUAAAUGCAUUGGUAACACGUUAUAAUAACUGCACUCAUUAGCUAAGCAUUAGUAAAUAGUCAGUUCAUGAUUAUAAAGCCUUUUCCCUUAAUAAUAGUCAUUAUUAAGCAGUAAUACAUCUAUAAAUAAAUUGUUCUUGGUUUAAAAGCACAUAUAUUACAAAGGAGAUUAAAGUCUCAGUUGUCUUAUAAAAUGAAUAAAUAAACACAACACAGUUUGAUGCAGAAUUCAGAAAUAUUUAUUUCAAGAUGCAAUAAAAGGAAACUGUACACUUGAAUAGGUUUUGAGAGAUUCUUGAAGGACUAGCAUCACCUCCUCUUGUACGACGGUUUGAGGAAUAUAUCUUCCAGAUUGUACCGCCGCUCCCUAUAUGCAGAGUACGCAGUCUUUGUAGGGCACCAACUCCCAGAGGGGGCACCAUCCCAGU